rnacentral:sRNA from 1 species
GGACCACUCCGCCAUGCUCUGAGACAGCA